rnacentral:rRNA from 1 species
UACGGAGGGAGCUAGCGUUGUUCGGAAUUACUGGGCGUAAAGCGCACGUAGGCGGCUUUGUAAGUUAGAGGUGAAAGCCUGGGGCUCAACCCCAGAAUUGCCUUUAAGACUGCAUCGCUUGAAUCCAGGAGAGGUGAGUGGAAUUCCGAGUGUAGAGGUGAAAUUCGUAGAUAUCAGGAGGAACACCGGUGGCGAAGGCGGCAUCCGUGGA